CAGUCGCCGCGGUAAAACGUAGGUGGCAAGUGUUGUCCGGAAUUAUUGGGCGUAAAGCGCGCGCAGGCGGAUAGGUCAGUCUGUCUUAGAAGUUCGGGGCUUAACCCCGUGAUGGGAUGGAAACUGCCAAUCUAGAGUAUCGGAGAGGAAAGUGGAAUUCCUAGUGUAGCGGUGAAAUGCGUAGAUAUUAGGAAGAACACCAGUGGCGAAGGCGACUUUCUGGACGAAAACUGACGCUGAGGCGCGAAAGCCAGGGGAGCGAACGGGAUUAGAUACCCCCGUAGUCCCUGUCUCUUAUACA
rnacentral:rRNA from 1 species